CUUCCAUCCUUCCAAGGUUGGUAAAAUGAGGACCCAGAUUGUUGGGGGGCAAUAUGAUGACUCACUAAACCACUUAGUGCUGUAAAGACUAUGAAGCGGUAUAUAAGUCUAAAUUCUAUUGCUAUUAUGUUUCUCAGACAUCUAAUAA